AUGAACGCCCCUGUGCUGGCUUACCAACGGCCCAGCUGCCUAGGGGAGCAGAUUCGGGUAGCCCAGCCAACGAUCCAUCGCGCCCGCGGCCAGGGCGCAGGCGCAGCCCCUCUGGCCUGUCCUGCAGUUAGCUCCCAGCCGGGGCACGUCUGCGCAGGUUCCUGCCGAGUCCGUGGUCAGUGCGUGGGAGCCAGUGGUCUCGGGGCAGUGAGAAUCGCUGCGUGCUGGGGUUGCGGCUUUCUCCUGGUGGCCUGUCACUUCUCAGGAGCCUGCUCCAGACAGAUACCUAGGAGAAAAGCGAAGAACUAGUUCAUUCCUAAAAGUCAUGCUGUAGGUAAGUUGGAGUUUUCUUAAUUUUUUUCUCAUAAAUGAUUGAACUACAGAAAGCUUUGCCUUCUUUUUUCCUAGAACCUCUUUGCUCACCAAAGGGAACUGACCCUAAUGCCUGUUCUGGAGGACAGGAAUGGGCUGAGCCCAUCAUGGGGACA
rnacentral:lncRNA from 1 species